GCAAAUUAACAACUGGCGCGAAUAUUUGAAUGUAGUGAAAGUGCGUGCCAAAUAAGUUUUCAAUCGAUCAAGUUUUAACGCAGCUUUUGAGUAAAAACUAGACGCUACAGGACUUAGACCUACUUCCUUAAAGAAAAAUCCUGUUCAUAUCCCUACGACCAGGGGAAGAAUCCUGACUACCGACGUAUCUUACAGAGACAUCUCAGUUCUUAAAACAUGAUUGAUGAAAGCUGAGCAUUGAGCGAAACUCUAAAGAAUGCACAGUGAUCAUGUUUCACUGCCUGUUGGUACCUAAGAGAGAGACGUGAGCAAAUUGCAGCUAAGACACACGUAGAGCAGAUAGAAACGAAAUUGUGAAAUAUCUGACUGGUAGGGAGCAAACUCUGAUUGAGACUGCAAAUGCAGUAUCUUAAAAAUAGAAGUGUGCCUAACGGAUGGAAGUGAUUAUAUUGUAAGCUUUGGUAACACUUACUUCAAUCAUCAGACACUAUCCAAAAACUUCAAACAGAUCGCUUUUGCUGUAGAAGAUAUUUCAACCAUAACUGCAAGCACACAUAAAAACUAAAGUUGAAAUAAAUGACAUUGAGAGCCAUCCUAUAAAAUGCUCUAAUAUCCUCUGAAGAUUUGAAGAGAACAAAACCUUGAAAAUGAAAAUCAGUCAGGUAAUGCUGCUUAGUUUGUUCUUUAUGCUGGGCGAGAAUAUUCAGCAAAUAAACAGCAUCUGCUGUGGUCAUCGCAUUCACCCAUGGGGCUCUAGAAUAGACAUCUGUAAUAAUGUGGCAUACCCCUUUCAAAGAGGAAAAUUCUGUUGCAGUGAUGGUAAUUGUAAUUUCUUUUGUUGCAAUUGUGAAAGCGAGUGUUUGGGGGUAGCUGCAACAAAGGACAAUGAGGAUAUUUUUUAUAUGGAGGAAGAAUUAGAGCAGUGAGAUUUUACUAUAUCUCUUAGUUUGAGAUUGAAAUGUAGAAUUUUAGAGGGUUGAGAGGAUGAACAGCGGAAUGAGAUCAGGUACCUAGCUUGCAUAAAUUGGCAGUGAAACUUCAGAAACACCUGGACGUCUUGUCUGCGAAAAACGUCCAUGUUGGACAAACAUGUUUGCUGAUUUCUUUCGGGAAAGAUAGAAUAAGCGGAAAAGUUUUGAAAAAUUGCAAUUGAUUAUGAGUGUACUUUAUGUUAAUUUACUUAAUGAAUAAUCCUCUUGGUCCGACUGAUAUUCCUGAUAAUAAAAGUCAAUUUACAAUUGA